AAAACCCAAAGAUGAUGGUGACUUUCAGGCAUGGCUUGCCAAUCUGUGCCAGUUGAGCAUGAAGCUGAAUAUUGAAACUGAGCUCCUGUAGGUCUGGGAAGAUGGAGGAGAUGGAGCCCUUCUUCUACUACUGUUUGGAAAUACACAGUGGUGGGCUGAGUUUACUCUGGAAACAAAGCAACAUUCACCAGGAGUGAACCUGGAGCAGUUUCUGCCCCUUGACAGGGCCAGAGUUUGAACAGCUGGUUCUCUCUGCUGGGCUCCAGAAGGGGGUUGUGCUUCUGUUGUCCAAGCACAAAGUGUGAUUCAUGGACCACACACCAAACCACAAUCAGGGCUGUGAUGCUGCUACUCAAGGGAGCACAGAAUGCAUGUGCCAUGCAUGACUGGAAAGAUCACUUUCCAGUGAACACACCCCUGCCAGCAGAGCAAUCACGGAAGGACAAUAAUAACUCAGAGCUCGGGGUCGUCUGGAUCUUGACUAGACUACACCAGAGUACCACUGAUCUAUUGCAGGGAAGAGGUUCUUGGUUUGGCUACAGAUGGAGAAAACAGGUCACUGUCUGUCACUGAGGGACAUCAAGGCAGGACUCAAGGACCCAGAAGACAGAAACCAUGGAGGAGCACCACUGGAUGGCUUACUCUCUGGCCCAUGCUCAGCUAGCUUCCUUCUAUAGCCCAGACUACCUAUGUAAGACUGGUGCUUCCCACAGUGGCCAGGGCCCCUCCCACAUCAGUUAUCAACCAAUACAAUUUCUCAAAGACUUACCAUCUGGGCAGUGGCUCAAUUGAGGGCCUCUCUUCCCAUGUGACUUUAGCCUGUGUCAGGUUGAACAGCCCCUAACCAGCACCCUGAGCAUUGUGUCAGGUUGACAGCCCCUAACCAGAACCUGAGCAUUGUGUCAGGUUGACAAUCCCUAACCAGCACCCUGAGCAUUGUGUCAGAUUGACGAUCCCUAACCAGUGCCCUGAGUAGAAAAACAGGUAGAGAAAGAGCUGAUGCUUUGCCUGUUUUGGCUGAAGAAGCUCAGGGCUGAGAACACAGCUCACUUGCUGGGAAGACACCAGGCCCAGACCUGUGGCAAGUGUGAAGUAGGUGCUGGCCUGAGCCUAUAGGAUGCAUGUCAUGACCUUUGGAGGAUAAAAUUGGAGAGAUGGGCCUGCUCUAUUCCUAAGCACUUCCCUAUAAAGGGACAGUGUAUUAUUGGCAUUAUAUAAGAUGAGUAAUGAACAAAUUUGAACUCUAAAAUAAUCUCAUUCAAAAAAUCUGAAGCAGGAAUUAGAGAUCAGUAGGAGGGGUCAUGACAGUUCAGCCUUGUUCUCCCUGCUCCCUGCCCUACUGUUCUGAAGAACAUAAUUGGUUAUCUACAAGACAAUAAAUAGGUUUAAUGAUUAACCCUUAUUGUAUAUAAAAAUCAGUUACUGCUUUUAGAUGUAAGACAAAUUCGAAAGGUCAAAUCAUGGAAACUGUAGGAUAAGAUAUAGAAUGCUUUUAAACCUCAAAGUACAGAGAUUUUCCCUAACAAUAAACCCCAUAAUAUAAAGACAUGUCAUCAUAUUAAAAUAAAAACUGACUUUGGCUUCCAGACACAAUAGGCCUGAUGUACCUAUCCCCUCAUGGAGACUGACAGCACACACAAGACCCAAACACAGGUUCAAACCAGACAAAAUCCCAGAAUUGAAAAGGGAAAGUGGACACAAAAAUCGCACUUCACACACACAUGCUCCCCCACACACGACUUUGAAAAGGGAAAACACGGGCAUCUCAUAGAUAAGGUACCACAAAUGACCCAGUUUAUGUGCAAAGCUGCCUAACCUUAAGGUGAUCAGAAAAAAAGAAAAGGGGGGAUACAAAACCAUAAAUUAGAACCACAAUAAGAAAGUAGUCCAUGAACAUUUAAAUGGAAACAUUACAAUUUCAGCAAAGUCAAAGUGUUGACUCUUACACACUGCUGGUGACAAUCUAAAGACAUCCAACCACCUGGCCAGAGUUAGCUUGACGUUUGUUAGGAAGCAGGAUUGGGCAGACAGGCCCCACACCCCUAGGACUCUAUUCCUAAGCACUUCCUAAAUACCUGGGAGAAACUCUAACCUGCAAGGGAAAUGAUCUUUCACAAGAUUGCUCUUCACAGCCGUCAACAGAAAAUGACCUCACUGACCCUCUGCAGAGAAAUAAACAAACUGCAAUAUAUUUUUGCCAGCUAGUUUUAUGUCAACUCGGCACAAGCCAGUUAUGUGAGAAAGAGCAAACCUCAGUUAAGAAAAUGCCUCCCUCUGUAAUAGUGGCCUGUAGGCAAGUCUGUGACAUGUUUUCUUGAUGGAUGAUUGAUGUGGAAUGGUCCAGCCUACUGCGGGUGGUGUCAUUCCUAGGCUGGUCAUCCUGAGUUGUGUAAGAAAGUAGAUAGACUGGGUAAGCUAUGAGCAGCAAGCCAGUAAGCAGCACUCCUUCAUGGCUUUAGCUCCCGCCUCCAGGUACCUGCCUUGAGUUCCUGCACUGGCUUGUCUUAGUGAGAGUGUGAUCAAGACAUGGAAGCUGAAACAACACCUUUUCCCCAGGGUUGCUUCCAGUCAUGGUAUUUAUCACCACAACAGAAACCCUACGACAAUGUUCACCUGAUUAAAAUAAAAUAUAACAGUAAAAAUUAAUUGGUUACUACCACAUAAAUCAAAUCAUGCACCCAACAGUAUCGAUGGCUGGGGUGGUACUUGAGAGAUGUAUACUACCUGAUAAGUCUCUCGUAACCGGUCACUUCUCACUCUUUCAUAGACUCUUUACUGCUCAUUUUUCUUAUUCUUCUCCAUUCAGACGACUUUUACUCACUUUUGUGUGUUACGUAUUUCUUAAUAAUCAAAUACCUUCUUAAAGAAUCAGAACAAACUUUAAAACUCUUGAAAAAAAAAAAAAAACUCCCAAAAGUCCUCCUCAAAAACUCAGUCUGAAUUGUUUUAAUUGGGUUGAAUCAGUGGAAAUCAGUGCCCCUGGGCAGUGUUCUUUCAACACGAGUUAAGUUUAGAAUAAAAAUAGAAACUGGGCUGGGGAAAGCUCGGUAGUUAAGUCCUUCCAAGUGUGAGGACUGGAGUUGGGAUUCCCAGAGCCCAUAUAAAUACCAGAUAGGUGGGGCAGCUGCCUGUAAUUCCAACCUCACAAGGUAAAACUCUGAGACAAGGAAUCCCAGGAGGAAGCAGGCUAGUGAAACCAGCUGCUUUGGUGAGCUCUGGGUCGGUCUGAGCUAUCCUGCUUCUCAUUGAAUAAGGUAGAAGUGCAAUUGAGGAUGAUUUUAGAAUCAACCUCCACAUAUAUGUGCACCUACAGGCACUCAUACCCACAUGCUGUGUGCCUACACACCUGCAUACAUGCAUGCAUACUCACCCCACACACAUGAACACACACACACACACACACACACACACACACACACACACACACACGGAAGGGACACAGAGGCUGCUCAUGAGCAAGUUCAAGUGCAGAGAUUUUAGGAUCAAACACAUGCUCCAUCAGGAGCUUCCUUACCACCAUGUCCCUAAUACCUCACUUAGGUUGCCGUACAUAGUAUGUGUUCAGUAAUUACUUGCUGAGUGAAUUGAUGAGAGAGACAAACCAUGGGAAUAUAAACUAGACUCUUAAAUUCCGUUUGGAUAACAUUUGUGGGCUGAGAGUUGAGGCUGGACUACUAGCAGUUCAUCCAUAUUCUAGCACAUGGGAGAAGGGAUAGAGAACUAAAACAAGUUUCCUCUAAAGAAAUGGAACAUUUUCAUUGCAUUACCUUGGCAAGGAUUUAGUCCUGGACCAUGCAUAGCUGCAAGGGAAGCUGGAAAAAAUAAUUACAUCUUUAGGUAGCCAUGAGUCCUUUUAGAAUGCUGGGAAAUUUUCUGUUUCUAACAGAGAAGAAAGGCAGUAACACAAAACUACAAACAGAAAUGUCUUCUCUUCCACACACCUCAACCCAGUUGUGUUCUCCUUACUAUCUCCCUAAAGAUACUCUAUAUCAUGCAUUUGCUAUUUACGAUUUUUCAUGAAAAUUAUUAACUCUGGAUUUUAAUCUUUCAAUGCAUGAUAUGUUUCUGGAAUUUUGCAUCAUCCUGAAGGAUUUUUUUCCCAUUAAACAUUUUGGAACUUUGUUUUCCUUGUUAAUACAUUCGUCUACUUCACUGAAUUUAGCUGCUACUGGACAGUGCUCAUCAUGUGGGUGUUAUACAAGCUGCUUAUUAAUUGCUUCCAAGGUGUGUGUGUGUGUGUGUGUGUGUGUGUGUGUGUGUGUGUGUGUGUGUGUGUGUGUGUUUAAUCUUGAGUUCAGAAAACAGAGAAGUCCAGGACAAAGGGAACCUUGCUCUGAGCUGAGAUCUGUAAAGAAACAGCAGAUUUUCGAGAAGGAAAAGUUAUUUUUAAACCCCUUUAUAGACAUUUCUUCCUAUUAAAUGUCCUUUUCCACCAAAGUGUUUAUCCUUCCUUGCUUUGCAUUUUCUCUCUACAUUUCAUGAUUACUCCAGAGAAUGAAUGUGUGUGGCCAGCCAUGGUAGUAGCAAUCCACAAUUCAAACCUGUUUCCCUCAUCACCCACAACUCCUGUGCCCCCAUCUUCCUUCCUCUUUUAUUUGUGUGUGUGUGUGUGUGUGUGUGUGUGUGUGUGUGUGUGUGUGUGUGUCUUCUCACACAGCAAAUCCCACCACCAUUGACUUUUCCUAUUCCUUGCCUCCACACUGCAUUGUGCUUCUUGUUUUGUAAGAUUGGGACAUAGCUGAAAUCAUGGUUAAAAUUUUUGGAAAGCUUUCUCUGAAAGUUUGAUUGAUCUGUGUCCUUCAAGCCUCUGUGACAGGGUACUUUCUGC
rnacentral:lncRNA from 1 species